AUACGUAGGGAGCGAGCGUUGUCCGGAAUUACUGGGCGUAAAGGGCGCGUAGGCGGCGCUUCAAGUCGUCUGUCAAAUGGGAGGGCUUAACCCUUUUUCGCAGACGAAACUGGAGAGCUUGAGAAGCAGAGAGGCAAACAGAAUUCCUGGUGUAGCGGUGAAAUGCGUAGAUAUCAGGAAGAAUACCAGUGGCGAAGGCGGUUUGCUGGCUGCAUACUGACGCUGAAGCGCGAAAGCCAGGGGAGCAAACGGGAUUAGAUACCCCGGUAGUCCUGGCAGUAAACGAUGUAUGCUGGGUGUGAGACUAGCGAUAGCUUCGUGCCGAAGUUAACGCGAUGAGCAUACCGCCUGGGGAGUACGGUCGCAAGAUUGAAACUCAAAUGAAUUGACGGGG
rnacentral:rRNA from 1 species